rnacentral:rRNA from 1 species
GGAAGUAAAAGUCGUAACAAGGUCUCCGUUGGUGAACCAGCGGAGGGAUCAUUACCGAGUUAUUACUCCAAACCCUUUGUGAACCUUACCUUUUUGUUGCUCGGCGCACCGCGGGCCGCGGCUUCGGCCCGUCCCGCAGCGCGCCAGAGGACCCAACUCUUCAAUUUAUAGCGUACCUUCUGAUUUACAAAACAAACAAGUUAAAACUUUCAACAACGGAUCUCUUGGUUCUGGCAUCGAUGAAGAACGCAGCGAAAUGCGAUAAGUAAUGUGAAUUGCAGAAUUCAGUGAAUCAUCGAAUCUUUGAACGCACAUUGCGCCCGGCAGUAAUCUGCCGGGCAUGCCUGUCCGAGCGUCAUUUCACCCCUCGAGCCGCUUUUAGUGGAUCGGUGUUGGGGCACUACGGUAAAACGUAGGCCCUGAAAUGAAGUGGCGGUCCCGCCGCGGUGCCCCCAUGCGUAGUAACGUUUAGUCUCGCAUCGGGUCCCGGCGGAGGCCUGCCGUCAAGCCUAUUUAUUCUCAGAAUAGUUUGACCUCGGAUCAGGUAGGGUUACCCGCUGAACUUAAGCAUAUCAAUAAGCGGAGG